rnacentral:rRNA from 1 species
UACGGGGGGGGCAAGCGUUGUUCGGAAUUACUGGGCGUAAAGGGCUCGUAGGCGGCCAACUAAGUCGGAUGUGAAAUCCCCAGGCUUAACCUGGGAACUGCAUCCGAUACUGGAUGGCUUGAAUCCGGGAGAGGGAUGCAGAAUUCCAGGUGUAGCGGUGAAAUGCGUAGAUAUCUGGAGGAAUACCGGUGGCGAAGGCGGCAUCCUGGACCGGCAUUGACGCUGAGUGAGCGAAGCCAGGGAGCAAACGGG